AUUGAACGCUGGCGGAAUGCUUUACACAUGCAAGUCGAACGGCAGCACGGACUUCGGUCUGGUGGCGAGUGGCGAACGGGUGAGUAAUGUAUCGGAACGUGCCCAGUCGUGGGGGAUAACGUAGUGAAAAUUACGCUAAUACCGCAUACGAUCUAUGGAUGAAAGCGGGGGAUCGCAAGACCUCGCGCGAUUGGAGCGGCCGAUAUCAGAUUAGGUAGUUGGUGGGGUAAAGGCCCACCAAGCCAACGAUCGGUAGCUGGUCUGAGAGGUCGACCAGCCAUACUGGAACUGAGAUACGGUCCAGACUCCUACGGGAGGCAGCAGUGGGGAAUUUUGGACAAUGGGCGAAAGCCUGAUCCAGCCAUUCCGCGUGCAGGAUGAAGGCCCUCGGGUUGUAAACUGCUUUUGUACAGAACGAAAAGGUUUCUACUAAUACUAGGAGCUCAUGACGGUACUGUAAGAAUAGGCACCGGCUAACUACGUGCCAGCCGCCGCCGUAA
rnacentral:rRNA from 1 species